rnacentral:rRNA from 1 species
UGGGGAAUUUUGGACAAUGGGCGCAAGCCUGAUCCAGCAAUGCCGCGUGCAGGAUGAAGGCCUUCGGGUUGUAAACUGCUUUUGUACGGAGCGAAAAGGUCUGCCCUAAUACGGUGGGCUCAUGACGGUACCGUAAGAAUAAGCACCGGCUAACUACGUGCCAGCAGCCGCGGUAAUACGUAGGGUGCGAGCGUUAAUCGGAAUUACUGGGCGUAAAGCGUGCGCAGGCGGUUAUAUAAGACAGGUGUGAAAUCCCCGGGCUCAACCGGGGACCUGCAUUUGUGACGGUAGAGCUAGAGUACGGUAGAGGGGGAUGGAAUUCCGCGUGUAGCAGUGAAAUGCGUAGAUAUGCGGAGGAACACCGAUGGCGAAGGCAAUCCCCUGGACCUGUACUGACGCUCAUGCACGAAAGCGUGGGGAGCAAACA